AUCGGUUGUCUGUAAAGUCGGUUUACUGACGAUAGUUGAACGUAACAACGUCAUAAGAAAAUACUGAUGGAAUGGUUUCAUUUUUCAAUUAUCGCAAUUAUCGUUGCUAUAAACAAUUGACACCACAUUCACUUUUCACUGAACUUCAUACUUGACGAAAACAUGUACGCCUCAGAGCGAGGUAACGCCGCAUGAGUCAUGUUUUUUCGUGCGUGCAGCCGGCUCCAUCGAAUUAUAAGACGUUGUCACGUCAAAAA